UACGGGGGGGGCAAGCGUUGUUCGGAAUUACUGGGCGUAAAGGGCUCGUAGGCGGCCAACUAAGUCAGACGUGAAAUCCCUCGGCUUAACCGGGGAACUGCGUCUGAUACUGGAUGGCUUGAGUUUGGGAGAGGGAUGCGGAAUUCCAGGUGUAGCGGUGAAAUGCGUAGAUAUCUGGAGGAACACCGGUGGCGAAGGCGGUCUGCUGGGCCGUUGCUGACGCUGAGGCGCGACAGCGUGGGGAGCAAACAGG
rnacentral:rRNA from 1 species